rnacentral:rRNA from 1 species
CCUACGGGUGGCAGCAGUGGGGAAUAUUGCGCAAUGGGCGAAAGCCUGACGCAGCGACGCCGCGUGAGGGAUGAAGGUCCUCGGAUCGUAAAACCUUGUUUGUAGGGGAGAAAGGUCGCUGGGGUAACCCGCAGUGUAUCUACGGUAUCUGAAAAGAAAGCCACGGCUAACUCCGUGCCAGCAGCUGCGGUAAUACGGAGGGUGCGAGCGUUAGUCGGAUUUACUGGGCGUAAAGGGGUCGUAGGCGGUAUUUUAAGUCUAGGGUGAAAGCUUCGGGCUAAACGGGGGAACUGCAGUUGAAACUGGGAGACUGGAGUGUGUGAGAGGAGAGUGGAAUUCCAGGUGUAGUAGUGAAAUCCGUAGAUAUCUGGAGGAACACCAGUGGCGAAGGCGGCUAUCU